CAAAAUUUUUUUUUUCGAAAAUGUUAUUAGUUUCCUCAAAAUUAGUGGUGGUGAUUUUUUUCCUAUUUUUUUUGAAAAUUUUUUUUCAAACAUAUUUUAUUAAAAUUUGUUAUUUUUUUCCAAAAAAUUAUUAGCGUCAUCAAAAUUUGUUUUUAAGGGGAAAAAUAUGUGUUUAAGGCGGUAUUCUAGCCUAGAAGACCGAAUUUCGAGCGUUUUUUUGGCAACUGAUAAAAAAGCACUUGAGAUUUUUACCAUUAUUUUAAAAUAUUUUGUCCAUUUCUUGUCACUUGUUUACUUAUAUUUGAAUAUUGCACAAAAAUAUGUUUAUUUUUCCUUUGAAUUAAGCGCCUCUUAAUUAGAGGAGGAAAAAUGUCCAUGUGACCAUGCUCUUCGUCCUGAUUUCUACCCUUGCGGCCAAUAAAAAAAUAAAAUAAUGAGUAUUCUUGAUUGGUACGAACAAACAGCUUAAAAAGCUGCUAAAUUGAAAAACAAAUUUUUUUUCAUUAAAUGGCGUCUACUUAAAUAUAAAGAUGGAUUUUUUUACUUUUUAAUUUUGUCGAUUUUUUUUAAAAUAGUAAACAUCUCAAUUUUUCAUUUUUUGCUACUUCAUGGGAUAAAGAGAUAUAAGAGUAUUUAACAUUAUUUAUUGCAUGUUUCAAGCAAAUCGGCUGAUUAGAACUUGAUACAUUGUGGCAACUGCAUCAGAAAAGUAAUGAAGUUCAUAUCGGUCCAGUUGCCAGGACACUAAAAUAAACUUCGGAAAUAAUUUAAAUUUUAUAAAAUCUUUUUAUGGAGAUAUUUUCUAAUAUCUUCGCUAUCCAACUUGAAAAAAAUUUAAUUUUUUCAAUUUCCUUGACCAGAAUACUGGCUUAAACAUCUUAAUUUUAAUGCGUAUUUGCUGAAACGUGAUCUUGUGCACUAAAAAAAUCAUUCUCCAUUUUAAUGUGACCUUGCUUAAGGAAAUAUUUUUUUUGUAAGAAUUUUUUCAAAUGAAUUGUUUUGCUUACGAGUUUUAGAAUUAUUUAAAAAUUUGGCUGAAAUUUUAAUUACCAAAAAGAAGCCAACAUAAUUUAAGUUCGAAAAAAAAAUUUUUUUUGGUAUAUUAAAAUUAUUUGAGCUACUUAACCAAUGAAGAUUCAUUAAAUUACUAUAUAUGGAGUAUAAUAAUAUUAUUAUCUGAUAAAUCAAAUAUUUGACCUUAACCCUAAUUUACUCUUAGUACUGUGCUGUUAGAGGCUGUUUCUUGCUAAUUUUGUGUUGCUAAAACCGAAAAUUAUACUAAAAAUUUUGUAACACUUGGUGUAACCUGUCAAUAAGCUGCAAUAAUUUAAUAAAUAAUGCUUAUUUGAACAUAAUGCUAUUUUGAAAAGUUGCUACUUAAUUUCAUAAUUUCAUAAAAAUAUAAAUAAGAAAAACUGGAGAUAAGUAAACAAAAAUAAUUUGAAGCUACCGCGUAUAUUAAUAAUUUUUUUCUCUAAUUUUUUAAACGCAUCAAAUUAACUAUUUUUUCAAAAAUUUCAAAUUAUUUCGCAUUAAAAAUGUGGUUUCUUUAUGCGUGCUUAUCAAUGCCGACCGUUUUAAUAAUGAAUAAAUAAUAUUUUUACUAGAGCUACUAACACUGCAAAAACACAACUUAUAAAUAUGUAAUGUGUCAUAUUUAUGCGAAAUUCAUCAAAUGCUUUUGCAGGUGCGUUAAAGUGCAACACAAUUAAUUAAAAAUUAAUUGCUUAACAUGAUUAAUAAGGAAAUCACGCUACUCCACACACACACACACGCGCGCAUACGUGUGAAAGUGCUUAAAAUAGAAAUGCAAGUUUGCAAUUUAAAUUAUGAGUGCGAGUAAAAAUUAUAAAACCAAAAAAAUUUACAAGCUACUGCCAUAAUUUACAAAUUGAACAACAGCCGAUAAACACACGCACACAUUUACAUACAAAUAAACAGCUGUGUGAUGGUACAAAUGCCGCAUUUAAUCUUCAUAAUUAAUGCACAACCACAUAAGGACAGGCUAGCAUGCGUACACUGGGUAAAAACAGCAAAUCAAAUGCUACAACAGGCGCUCACACAAACAAACAUACAUUAGUGAUAAAACAUAUACAUACAUGCAUACUCACACACAUACAUUACUCAACAAAUAAAAACACGAAAUUUUUAAACGCAUCGUACCGAGCUAUUUUACUUUACCACUUAACCUAUGUGUCAUAUUUAUGUAUUACAUGCAUACAUACAUACUCUCAUACAUACAAAUAUUUCAUAUUGAACAUGAAUGCAUACAAUCGUCAUACUUGCAAAUAAAUUUAAAUGAUAAAAAUGCAUAAAAAUAAAUACAUAUAAAUUAAUUGCUUACAUACAUACAUAUAUUGAUGUGCAUAGUUAUACAUAUGCUCCGCUCAUGCUCACCUACAUACUCAUGUUUGUAUUUAUGUAUCGACAAGCAUAUAUAAGAACACCAAAAAGUAUAUUUAAUUCAUAAAAACAAAAAAAUUACAAAAAACAUAACGUAUAAUCCAUUAAAUCAUGCCUAACGCUUAAUAAUCACAUAUAUACACAUACACAGAAAUAUACUACCCCACACAUAUACUUAUCUACAUUAAAAUGCGUAUUUAUUAAAAAAUUGCUUUACUGCAAACCUGCCGAUUAAAUGCCAAUUUCUUUCUAAAUAUUUAUGCAACACGGUUUGUUCGCUAUUAAAAUGUAUAAAUAAUAAAUGAUUUGUGUGAUUGUGUAUAAUUUAUUAAUGAAAUCCCUACACUACGCCCAUUCUAGCCACACAAGUACUCACUUAUACAUUAUUAAACACAACGACAUAUUACAUACAUAUAUACAUAUACUACACCAACUACUCGGAACAACAACUACCAUAAAUGACAACUAAAUGUAUAAUUACAUACUACAUACAAAUAUAUUACAUAGGUACAGCUAUAUGCAUAGUAUAUAGUAUGGUAUAUGUACAAAUACAAGUGCAUGGAAUUACAAACUCCAUACGUACAUACUUACAUAAAAAAACACACAUACAAAUGCAUCAUAUAGUUUGUAUAGUUAGCAAAACUAUUUUUAUACAAGCUUCCUCAGUUAAAGCACAUUUUAGAAUUGCAAAACUUUAUAAUGCCAUAAGAUAUUUCGAAAAAUGUUUUAACGCUUCAAAAAAGCCGUUAAGUUGAUAGUAAACUUCGGAAAAACUUUUUCUGAUUUUUUCAAAUACUAAAAUUUUUCAUAUUGUUCACAAUUUUCAAGACUAAUUUUUCUGUGAAAUUUUUGAAUUAUUUUAAUUAUUUCAAAAACUCACUUUACAUACUAUUUAGUUUUCUCUUCAAACUACAUUACUUCCGGCUAAGUAUUGGUGACCAUUCGCUUUCAAAAUGAUUUCAGCUAGUUCAUGCUUUUCACGAUCUAUCUCUUCUAAUAGAAAAUAAUUUCCAGCAAAGUAUUGGAACGUUCACUAAGUAAUUUCGUUUUUUAGUGCAAUUAAACCCAAUUUUUUAUUGCGUAAAACAACUUAUGGAAAUAUAUAUAUUCUCAAUUUUGAUCCAAUACUUAUUGCCAUCUUCCGGGCAAGAUAUUGCUUUCACGCUCUCAAUAUUUUUGACUGAGCCAAGUGGUUUGGCGUACUAACUUGAUUUGAGCUGAAGGUUCUCCCAUCCAAAAAAUUUUGCUGAGACCGGAAUAACAGUUCGUAGAAGUCAAGUAUGAGAAUAUGGUCUCAAGGUGACGAAUAUGGUGAGUGUGAUAGCGCAUCCCUUUCAAUCUGCAAUAGCUUUUGGAGGGUCAUCAAACUUAUAUAAAGUCCCGCAUGAUCUUAAUGGAACACUACACAUUUUCCAUUGAUCAAUUUUCGCAUCUUUUGCUUCAGUAAAUCACUCAACUUGCCUAGCUACUCACAAUACACUUCAAAAUUAAUCGUGGUACUGUCGGGCGAAAGAUCAAAUAAGCGAUAAGUCCUACCAAACAGACUACAUAACCUUUUUUGGUGACUACUGGACUUCGAAGUGGUUUGAGCUGGUUCAUCAUUACAGCUGAAGCUCUUCAGGAACCACCUCUUUUGUUUAUUGGUUUCGAGGAGAUGAGCUUUAUUUCUCAAUACUCCAAGAGAGUAGAACUUUUAGCAAGAACUCUCCAUUCACAGAUCAUGGGUGCAAUUUCCCUUGACGUCAAGAUAGCUUUUUCUCUGCCCUGGGGAAGAUUCUGCUAUUAUAGAUAAAUAAGCCUUCGCUACCAGUGAAAUCAAAAAGCGAAAAAAAGCAGACGGUGUGUUUUUUAUAUCUUGUCUGAACUGCUUUUUGACCCUUUUGAUAAUAAAAUAUGCCGAAACUGCUAUUUUCAAUUUUCGGAUCUUCCAGCUCCGAUAAGGCACCAAAGAAAAACAAUUCGAAAAAUUUAAGAAGCAUUUUUACUAACAAGCCUUACUACAAUACUAUAUAUCAGCUGUUGAAAUAUAUAAUGGUAAAGCGAUUAAAUGUGAAGUUGGCUGCAAAAAAAUGCAAAAAGAUCAGCUGCUGCCAUCAAACGAGACUACUUAGUGAACAACUAAAUACUUAAAUUUACUUAUUUUGGAAAUAUUUCCCAAAAAAUAAUAAACUAACUGUUGAUUUUCGAUUGACAUUCUGGUACCGUACAUUGGCACACUACCCAAAUAUAAUCUGUUUUUAAUAUCUGUAAAAAUUUCCUGCUAUCGUUUCUUCUGUUUCAAGUAUAGUUAUGAACAUUUAUUGUCGGGGUUCCUUUUUCAGCUGCAUCUUAUUGAGUAGAAAGGAAAGCAUGCAUAUUCGUCUUAGCAUACCACUUUUUAGUGGAUAGCAUGUUUUUCUUCAGAAGAAUCGGACCAAAGAAUAAAAAUAAUGAUACAUUUUUUAGCGGCCCUCUGAGUAUAGAUACUUGCUUUCAAUUCCAAUUUUCUCCUUUAAUAUGUAUAUAUACUUAUGAAGGAAUGCCGCUAUUACGAUAGAUCAUUCGAAGAAAAUUGUGGUAAGGGAAUUUUUAAUGAACUAAAGUUAUGCACAUGGUUUUAUCAAAGUAGUUGAAAGAGAGUAAAGUUGAGUAAAACUAAUUAUUUUGGUGCGAUUUUUUCACAAAGAUUAUAUGAAGGCCCAUAAUUAAAAGUACAGUAGAAAAAAAGUUAUACCUGUAUAUCCUUAAAAUGUAAUGUUUGUUUUCGAUUAGUCUCUCUAUUUCGCUACUUCUCAAAAUGAAAAAAAAUUGAUCGUACAAUUCAAACCCGACUAAAUUAUUUGUUUUAACAAAUAGCAUUAAACACAUUGAA